rnacentral:lncRNA from 1 species
AGCAGUCCAGUCCACUGUGGUGGGAGCACACAGUGUAAGGAAGCUGCUUACCUCAUGACAACUAGGAAGUAAAAGAAGGGACUGGUGUCCUACAAUCCCCUUGAAGGACAGACCCCAGUAGCCUGAAGGCCCAUCUCCUAAAAUUCCACCAUGUGCACGGAGUGCCACCUUCCUGAGCACAGGUCUGACUGGGCAAAGAGAGAUUCCUCUGAGGAGAGAACCCUGCAGAAAUAAAUGAGCUGCUAUUUUGCUGUCUCCAAACUGCACGAGUUACAAAUAUGAAACAUGACCAAUAGCUGUGUUUGAAGAGAUCAUGUAUUUCCUGAAGAUCAAAACCGUCAUCUUCUACCCGACCUCUACAGUCUUCAAAAUCUGCUGGUCCAUCAUCCCAGUAAGAAUUUCUUGGGCAGAGGAAGAUAGUUUGAAAUAAGCUGAGGCUCAUUGGCUUGCUGCUAUAUCCGUGGGAUACAUAGGAGGGGGUAAUAUGAGGCCAAACCCCUAUGAGUGUCAGAACACACGGGAUAGUUAUAAUGAGAUAGAAAAGGAAGCCCUUUGUAAUGAUGUGCAAAAGAAACAUAGACAUGUUCUUACAAUCCGGCGGGCAUGUGUUUGACAUCCUGACUAACCAGGCACGGUAUGUGGAGGGAUAUUCCAAUUUCUAAGAUCUUUAUGGCUGGCAGCUCAUGGCCUCAGAAUGCGCUGCGCCUCUAUCAGUUUCUGACUGAGAAGUGUAAGAUAAAUAAGGGUCAGCAAAGCAGUUUGGUGAUGGUAUCCACUUAAACAAACCCUGCAUGGCAUCUGGCCAACUAAUACCAGGUUGCGGUGGGUGGGGCACAAGCAGCAUUGGCCUAGACCUGGACUUGUCAUUGUCUACCGCAUCAAUUGUUUUCACUCUCCCACACUGAAGUGUCUCAGCUUUCAUAGGAUUCUGCAUCCAGUUGGCCUCCCAUUCCUUUAUAUGGCUGCACUACAU